UUCAUGGAGAGUUUGAUCCUGGCUCAGGACGAACGCUGGCGGCGUGCCUAAUACAUGCAAGUCGAGCGGACCGACGGGAGCUUGCUCCCUUGGGUCAGCGGCGGACGGGUGAGUAACACGUGGGUAACCUGCCUGUAAGACUGGGAUAACUCCGGGAAACCGGGGCUAAUACCGGAUGCUUGAUUGAACCGCAUGGUUCAAUCAUAAAAGGUGGCUUUUAGCUACCACUUACAGAUGGACCCGCGGCGCAUUAGCUAGUUGGUGAGGUAACGGCUCACCAAGGCGACGAUGCGUAGCCGACCUGAGAGGGUGAUCGGCCACACUGGGACUGAGACACGGCCCAGACUCCUA
rnacentral:rRNA from 1 species